rnacentral:rRNA from 1 species
CAGCCGCCGCGGGAAUACGAAGGGGGCUAGCGUUGCUCGGAAUGACUGGGCGUAAAGGGCGCGUAAGCGGUUUAUACAGUCAGAUGUGAAAUUCCUGGGCUCAACCUGGGGACUGCAUUUGAUACGUAUGGACUUGAGUGGAGAAGAGGGUUGUGGAAUUUCCAGUGUAGAGGUGAAAUUCGUAGAUAUUGGAAAGAACACCGGUGGCGAAGGCGGCAACCUGGUCUUUAACUGACGCUGAGGCGCGAAAGCGUGGGGAGCAAACAGGAUUAGAUACCCCCGUAGUCCCUGUCUCUUAUAC